UGCUGACAGCACCUUCCUAAGGGCUUGCAUUUGAAAUGGAAUCUCAGGCUAAUCUCUGCCAGCCACCUUUCUGACAUAAACUCAUUUCUUGUCCCAGAUCUACAAGGGCUUUGUCACCAAACCUGCUGCAGCAGCAGCAUGGUCUAAAGGAGCCUUUGCUCUCCACCCUGAGAAGCGGAGCCGGGGCGGUUUGCUCAUCUCCAGUGCUGACCCAGCUGCUGCUCAGCAACAGGAGAUCAAGGAUGACUCCCUGGAGCUACGGAGGAAAAUAGUGAACAUGGAAAAUCCUGUGAUGAAAUACACGGAACUGGAACAUAUUGGCAGAGGGACUUUUGGAGAUGUUUGCAUAGCACUUGACAAUGCCACAGGAG